ACAGGUGACACGGUCAGGUGACCACAGAUGACCACAGGUGACACGGUCAGGUGACCACAGGUGACCACAGGUGACAUGGUCAGGUGACCACAGGUGACAAUGAGGGGACAGGUGACCACAGGUGAUGAUCAGGUGACACUCAGGUGACACAGGUGACACAGGUGACCACAGGUGACACAGGUGACACAGGUGACACACUCAGGUGACAUCAGUGACACAGGAGGUGACACAGGUGACACAGAUGACAUCAGUGACACUCAGGUGACACAGGAGGUGACACAGGUGACACAGAUGACAUCAGUGACACUCAGGUGACACAGGUGACACUCAGGUGACACAGGAGGUGACACAGCUGACACAGGAGGUGACACAGGUGACACUCAGGUGACAUCGGUGACACUCUCAGGUGUCCCCUGGGUACCUGUGGGUGGUGCCGGGGCCGGGCGGGGUCACGC
rnacentral:lncRNA from 1 species